GGGGAUGUAGCUCAAUGGUAGAGCCCUUGCCCAGCAUGCACGAGGCCCUGGCUUCUGUCCCAGCACCACAA
rnacentral:tRNA from 1 species